ensembl:lncRNA
UUUCUGUGACCUUGGGCAAGUGGCUUAGUGUUGCCAAGAUAUGGACAUCUUGUAUGUAGAGUGAUGAUAAUUCUGUGUGCCUGGCAGAGUUGAUGUUUAGGGAUAAUGUGUGAAGACAGCCAGGCUCAUAGAAACACUCAAUGUAGUAUACAGAUUAUAAUUAUUGUUAUUAUUAUUAUAAAAGUGGAGCUGAGGAUUUUAGAAAAGGCUGCUCAAAGCCAUAGGGAAUGACUGAAGGUCAAUGACAUGGUUGGGUGAAAUCAACUCUUCCUUUUUUUUUUUUAGGACCACACCGGUGGCAUGUGGAAUUUCCCAGGCUAGGGGUCAUAUUGGAGCUGCAGCUGCUGGCCUACACCACAGCCUCAGUCACAGUAAUACUGGAUCCAAGCCACAUCUGUGACCUACACCACAGGUUGUGACAAAGAUCCUUAACCCUCUGAGCAAGGCCAGGGAUCAAACCCACACCCUCGUGGAUGCUUAGGUCAGGUUCUUAACCUGCUGAGCCACAACAGGAACUCCCUUUUUGUUUUUAAUUACUAUUUUAUUUUUGAGAUGAUAGAAAUAAACAAACAGGUAUGAGAACUGAUAGAGAGACAUCUCAUUUAGACCUUGCCCAGUUUUCCUCAAUAGUAGUGCCUUACAAAAAUGUAUUCCAGUAACGCACCAGGACCUGGGUCUCAUGAUGGUCAAGGUAAGGAACAGUCACGUUACAACAGUGGCUCUGUACUGGCCUUCUGUGGACACCUCUACAUUCAGAAUCAUCCCUGGGGUCCUUCGCCCUGGGAACCAACAUCUAUAAUUUGUUAUUUAAUGUUUUGUAUAAAUGGAGCCAUAGAGUAUGUAAGCCUUUGGGAUAGUCUUUCUCACUCAUCAUAAUCCCCUGGAGAUUUAUCCAGGCAGCUGAAUGCAUCCUGGCUCAUCCUUACUCACUGCUGCAUACAAUUCCAGGGCACAGAGACCAACAUGUAUUUAACUACUUGCUUGUUAAAGGAGAACUGGGUUGUUCCAGUUUGGGGUUAUUUUAAGUAAAGCUACUACGAACAUUUGUGUAUGGAUGUAUGGACCUGGUUUAAUUCCUCUUGGGUAAAUGACCAAGGGUGUGACUGCUGGGCCAUAGGGCAGUUGGAUGUUUAGCUGUAUCAGAAACAACCAAGCUCUUCCAGAGUGGCUGUGCCAUUUUUGGUCGCAUCCACAAUGUCUGAGUAAUGCAGUUUCUCUGCACCCUGUUUAGUGUUUAGUGUUGUCACUAUGUUCUAUUUUAUCCAUUCUGAUAAGGGUGUGAUGAUAUCUCAUUUCAAUUAUAUUAUACCUUCUACUUAAUGGCAAAAAAUGUUGAUCAUAUUUUUAUUUGCUUAUUUACCAUCUUUAUAGUCCCUCUGAAGAAAUGUCUGUUCAUGUCUUUUGCUCAUUAUCUAAGUGGAUUGUUUGUAUUUUUCCUGUUUGGUUUAUAUUCUGUAUUCUAUAUCAGUCCUAAGUUAGGUAUGUCAUUUGCAAAAAUUUUUCUCCAAUAUGCUAUUUGUCUUUUAAUCCUUGUGCCAGAGUCUUUUACAGAGAAAAAGUUUUUUAGCUAGGUGUUUUCCAAUUUAUUAAUUUUCUUUUUAUGUAUUAUUGUGUACUUGAUGUCAAGUCUAAGAACUCUUUGCUUAAGCCUAGACUCUGAAGAUUUUCUCCUGUGUUUUGUCUAAAAGUGACAUAGUGUUUCUUUUUUUUUCACAAUAAAUGAUAUUUUAUGCAAAAUAUCACAAUUUUUGCAUAAAGUGUGCUAUUUAAGUUUAGGUUUACUUUUGACCUAUAGAUAUCUAGUUAUUUCAGCACCACUUGUUAAAAAGUCUAUGCUUCCUUCAUGGAGUUAUUUAUUGUUGCACCUCUUUCAAAAAUUAACUGGGUAUAUUUGUGUGGGCCUGUUCCUGGUUCUUUAUUCUGUUCCAUUGAUCUAUGUCUCUCUCACCACCAACCCCACACUGCUGAUCAUUGCAGCCCUACUGCUGGGUACAGUGAUUCCUUCCACUUCAUUAUUCCUUUACAAAAUUUUUCUUUUUUUCUCUUUUUAGGGCUGCACCUUCCCGUGCUAGGGGUCGAAUUAGAGCUUAAGCUGCAGGCCUAUGCCACAGACAGCCACAGCAACACCAGAUCUGAGCGGAAUCUGUAACCUAUGCCACAGCUUGUCACAACACUGGAUCUUAACCCACUGAGUGAAGCCAGGGAUCAAACCCACCACCUCAAGGACACUAUGUCAAGUUCUUAACCCACCAAGUCACAACGGGAACUCUCUGUUACAAAAAAAUUUUUUUAGCUAUCUAGAGUUUUUGCCUUUCUGUAUAAAUUUUAGUAUAAUCUUGUCUAUGUCUACAAAAAAAAUUUCCUGAGAUUUUGAUAGGAAUUGGAAUGAACACACAGAUCAAUUUAGAGAGAACUGACAUCUUUACUACAUCAUUGCCAAACCCAUAAACAAGUAUGUCUCUCCUUUAUUUAGGUCCUUAAUUUUUUUAAAGCAUUCUGUCAUUUUCAGUAUACUAAUUAUGCAUAUGUUUUGUGAAGUGUGCAGUGAGGUGUUUCAUCUGCAUUAGAGCAAUUGAAAUGUUCCGAUGUAUUUUCAAUGUGGUUUCCCCCCUGUUCACUGUGAGUCCUAUAGAGAGGUAACUUCAUUAUUUUGUGUGGAUCUUGUAUCCUGUGACCUUGCUGAACUCAUUUACUAGAAGUUCUAGGAAUUUUUGUAGAUUCUUUGGGAUUUUCUACAUAGACAAUCAUGUCAGCUACAAAUAGAUGGAUGUUCAAAUAGGGUGAUGUUUGAGAAAACCAAGUUUUCUACCCCUUUCUCACUUGCAGGUCUGUCUUUUCAUGCUCCAGACUUCGAGCUGUGCUUCUUUCCCAGAAGUUUCCCAAACUCAAGCCCAUGAAUCCUUUCCAUGCAGGGGAGUGGCCCAGAUUUAUUUCUCCACUGAUAUGUAUUUCAUCACAUAGAACAUUUGCAUCUCAAGUAGGCAGAGUUAUCAACAGUCAAUUUGAUAACUGAUGUUUUAAAAAUAGAAAUACAAAAGAAAUCCACCUUAUAGCUUUGCAGUGAAUAAAAAAAUGAUGAAAAGUAUAUGAGAGCUCUUUGCACAGUAGAAAUUUUUCAAUAGCUUUUAGCCACCAAGUUCAGCCCAAACUGUCUCCAGCCAUGAAUGUGAAGUUCCCAGCACCCUCUGUUCUGCACCACAGGACACAGGAAAGUGGGGUCCUUUCCUGCAGGGGCUGGAGACACUAGGAUCUUUCAAAGUCUCUAAAUGGUAGCCAAAAAAAAAGCAUUUCUUAACAUAUAAGACUCUCCCAAAAGGCUUUGUUAUCUUCAAAUAUGCAUAUGUGGUCCUGUUUGAGGAGGGGGUAAAUCAACAUGACAAAAACAAAUUCUGUUGAGUUAAAUAGCCAUCAUUUAUCCAACUGCUUAGGGGCCUUUUAAGUAGAUGUUGAACUGCACUAUGACACUUUGAAGGCUGAGGAAGAAAAUUUUAGCAAAGGUUAAGUCUAUUUAGGGACCUUCUUAAUCUGAUCAACCCACUGAAAUCCUGAAAUCCAGAAGUCAAUUCUGUCAUAAUAAAUAGGAUUUUUAAAAAAGUUUUAUUGAAGUAUAGUUAAUUUAUAAGGCUGUGAUUAAUUCUGCUGUAUAACAAAGUAACCCAGUUGUGCAUACAUAUAUCCAUUCUCUUUCAGAUUCUUUUCCCACAUAAAUUAUCACAGAAUAUUGGAUAGGGUUCUUUGUGUUAUACGGCAGGUUCUCGUUGGCCAGUCAUUCCAUAUACAAUAGUGUGCACAUGCCAAUUCCAAACCCCCAGUCAACUCCACCCCACUAACCUGUCCCCUUUGGUAACUACAAGUUUGUUUUCAAAGUCUGAGUCUAUGUUCUGCAAAGAAGUUAAUUUGUAUCCUUUUUUCUUUUUUAUUUCCACAUAAAAUUGAUAUUUUAUGAUGUUUGUCUUUCUCUCUAUGACUAACUUCACUUAGUGUGAGAAUCUCUAGGUCUAUCCAUGUUCCUGCAAAUGGCAUUAUUUCAUUAUAUUAUGGCUGAGUAAUAUUCCGUUGUAUAUAGGUACCACAUCUUCUUUAUCCAUUCAUCUGCUGAUGGACAUUUAGGUUGCUUCCACUUCUUGGCUAUUGUAAAUACUGCUGCAGUAAACAUUGGGGUUCAUGUAUCUUUUCAAAUUAUGGUUUUCUCUGGAUAGAUGCCCAGGAGUGGGUUUGCUGGAUCAUAUGGUAGUUCUAUUUUCAGUUUUUUGUCAACAGGAUGUUUUCACACAGCAGUUUCUGAGUCCACACUUGACCGCCUUCCUCUGCCCACUUCUAACUAGUUUCUCAUGUGUUAGGUCCCAGAUGUUUCCAUGAGAUCAUAAAUGAAAGAAACCCCAGGGAACUCUCUUAUCAGGCACACCUGGGAGUGAUCAACCAGGCCAACUUUGGGACAGUUCAGGUGUUCCAGGGGAAAGGGGGGAUGAUGCUCCAGAUAUGUAGAGAUCUGGGGAGAAGGAGGAAGAGGAUUAUAGGUCUUGCCAUAGAGCUUCAAAACAGAGUGUGGAAGUCUUUGAGCCUGUUUCUGUUUUGUGAAUAAGUUCCUCUGUAUCAUUAAUUAUUAGGUUCCCCAUAUUAGGUAUCUCAUAUGAUAUUUGUCUUUUUCUGUCUUACUUCACUCAGCAUGAUCAUCUCCAGGGAUAAAUUAGGAGGUUGGGAUUGACAUGUACACCCUACUAUAUACAAAAUAGAUAAGUAACAAGGACCUACUGUGCUGCACAGGGAAACUCUACUCAAUAUUCUGUAAUGACCUGUAUGCAAAAAAAAUCUGAAAAGAAUGGAUAUAUGUGUAUGUAUUACUUAAUCACUUUGCAAUACACCCUGAAACCAACAAACUUUGUAAGUCAAAUAUACUUCAAUAACAUUUUUUAAAAAUUAAAUUAAAUUAAAAUUUAAAAAUAUAUACACAAUGGAAUACUACUCAGCCAUAAAAAGGAAUGACAUAAUGCCAUUUGCAGCAACAUGGAUGGAACUAGAGAAUCUCAUACUGAGUGAAAUAAGCCAGAAAGACAAAGACAAAUACCAUAUGAUAUCACUUAUAACUGGAAUCUAAUAUCCAGCACAAAUGAACAUCUCCUCAGAAAAGAAAAUCAUGGACUUGGAGAAGAGACUUGUGGCUGCCUGAUGGGAGGGGGAGGGAGUGGGAGGGAUCGGGAGCUUGGGCUUAUCAGACACAACUUAGAAUAGAUUUACAAGGAGAUCCUGCUGAAUAGCAUUGAGAACUAUGUCUAGAUACUCAUGUUGCAACAGAAGAAAGGGUGGGGGAAAAACUGUAAUUGUAAAGUAUACAUGUAAGGAUAACCUGACCCCCUUGCUGUACAGUGGGUAAAAAAAAAAAAUUAUUUAAAAAAAAAAAAAAAA